CUUCAGCGAUCCCAACCACAGCGGCCGGUCCGUCGGGCGGUCCUGCCCGUACGUCGCCAGCAGCGCCUCCGCCUC
rnacentral:antisense_RNA from 1 species